CUCUAUAGGUAUUUACCAUUAAUUAUAAUAUGUGUGUAUUCGUUGAAAAAAUUCUUUAAAUAUAAUAUUUGGUCUAUUAUAUAUUAGUAGAAAUUACUUGAAAAAGAAUAACGGAGUAAAAUAACUAUGACCAAAGUUUAAUAAGUUUAAAUUUAAUAAAUAAUUCUUUACACUAAUAAAAUCAUUUCUUAUUAUAAUUUUAAAAGUUAAAAUUAAUUUAUUGUGGAUAUAAUGUGUAAAAAUAUGUCUUUAUAACUUAUUUAAGAUAUUAAAAUUUAUUACUUGAUUUCAUAUCUUUCAAAUUCACAUAAUGAUUUUCUAUAUUUUUUAAAUGAAUAAAAUUUUAAGUCUACUUCAGUGCUAAUUAUUUAAUAUCAAUUACUACAAAGAAAUGCAUGCGUAUUUAAUAAUAAAGUUGUUUGUGUUGAACAUAUAUGAGACUAUUGCUUGGUUUGUGUGUUUGGUGGGUCAAGGGGAAGUGGAAUGAUUGUCCAUAUAAUUUGGAAUAGUUUGCUAGAGGCUUUGAGCGUAUCGAAUGGCCACGAAAACAAAAGAUGCCACGAACAGUGUAUUGGGAGCAACCGCCAGCCACUAUUUUGAAGUUUAAUGUGGAUGAGGCGCGAAAGGGAACCCAAUGGUAAGUGGUAUUGGCGGGGUUUUGUGGUUACUUUGCAAAAGGAACUGGAUUGUUGUGAGCUUUUGACGAAGGUUCAAGUAGUGUUACAUGCUUUGUUAUUUUUUCAGCAAUUUAAAUUUUCAAAUGUGGUGGUUGAGAGUGAUUCCUCCUUAGUGGUUGGGUGAGUGUCUAGGGGAGAUAGGAGGUCAUGGAAAUUGAAAAAUGUAUUUAAUCAUAUAGAUCAUCUGAUUUUUGUAAUUCAGUGUGUUGGUGUGGUGCAUGUAUUGCGUGAGGGAAACACUGUGACGAACUUUUUGGUAAAUCAAGGGUGUGGUAGAGAACAACAGAUAAGGUUUGUUGUGAUCCAAUGUAAUUAUCUAAAUGAGAAGAUUGUUCUCAUUUUUAUUGCGUUUCAAUAUUUUUUUUAAAUAUCAAUUAUUAAUUUGAGUAAUAUUAAUUAUUUAGAUCUAGAGAACUCUAAU
rnacentral:lncRNA from 1 species